UACGUAGGGUGCAAGCGUUGUCCGGAAUUAUUGGGCGUAAAGGGCUCGUAGGCGGUCCAUCGCGUCGGGAGUGAAAAGCUGGGGCUUAACCCCAGUCCUGCUUCCGAUACGGGUGGACUAGAGGUAGGUAGGGGAGAACGGAAUUCCUGGUGUAGCGGUGAAAUGCGCAGAUAUCAGGAGGAACACCGGUGGCGAAGGCGGUUCUCUGGGCCUGUACUGACGCUGAGGAGCGAAAGCGUGGGGAGCGAACAGG
rnacentral:rRNA from 1 species